CCUCCCAAAGAGUAACGGAGGCGUGCGAAGGUAGGCUCAGAACGGUCGGAAAUCGUUCGUCGAGUAUAAUGGCAUAAGCCUGCCUGACUGCGAGAUCUACGAAUCGAGCAGAGACGAAAGUCGGUCAUAGUGAUCCGGUGGUCCCGCGUGGGUGGGCCAUCGCUCAACGGAUAAAAGCUACCCCGGGGAUAACAGGCUUAUCUCCCCCAAGAGUUCAUAUCGACGG
rnacentral:rRNA from 1 species